GUACUUGCUUCAGCAACACAUAUACUGCAGGUGGAAUGAUAUAGAGAAGAUUAGCAUGGCGCCUGUGCAAAGGUGACAUGCAAAUUCACGAAGCAUUCCAUAUUUUU